UGGGGAAUAUUGCACAAUGUGCGCAAGCCUGAUGCAGCCAUGCCGCGUGUGUGAAGAAGGCCUUCGGGUUGUAAAGCACUUUCAGCGGGGAGGAAGGCGGUGAGGUUAAUAACCUCAUCGAUUGACGUUACCCGCAGAAGAAGCACCGGCUAACUCCGUGCCAGCAGCCGCGGUAAUACGGAGGGUGCAAGCGUUAAUCGGAAUUACUGGGCGUAAAGCGCACGCAGGCGGUUGAUUGAGUCAGAUGUGAAAUCCCCGGGCUUAACCCGGGAAUUGCAUCUGAGACUGGUCAGCUAGAGUCUUGUAGAGGGGGGUAGAAUUCCAUGUGUAGCGGUGAAAUGCGUAGAGAUGUGGAGGAAUACCGGUGGCGAAGGCGGCCCCCUGGACAAAGACUGACGCUCAGGUGCGAAAGCGUGGGGAGCAAACAGG
rnacentral:rRNA from 1 species